AAAGGGAGACCUAAUUCAGGUAAAAGACGAAAAAAAAAGUAGUCGCUACCAAGAAUCAAUCCCAAAAGGUCGGAGCGAGGCGAAAUUGGCUUUCAAACUAGGUUCUGGGUUCAAACAAGACCUGAAUCAGGAACAAGGGCUAUUAGCUCAGGUGGUUAGAGCGCACCCCUGAUAAGGGUGAGGUCCCUGGUUCGAGUCCAGGAUGGCCCACCUGCACAGGUGGCAAAAACAAGAGAAGCGAGGAAUCAGCACCUUAUCUUACUUAUAUAGUAAGAGAGAAUGCUGGCUCUGAGUAAAGAGUCCAGAGGAACCUUGAAAACUGCAUAGAGCUAGGUGAAAAAGCCAAAAAAGAAGACCGCAAG
rnacentral:tRNA from 1 species